CUUCUGCUGCUGUACCUCAUUUUUAUAAAUCCACCGUCAAUCAGAUUUUAUUUUUUUUUAAUUUAACGAUUUUUGUUUGUGUCUGAUGGUUUUUUUCGCCCGACAAUAUCACGAUCACGAAAUAAUACAUUAUCUGACACAUAAUAAUUUCGAAACAAUUAAAAUGCCAGAUUUUUUCACAUGAGGAAUAAUAAAACGGAAUUAUUUAUAAGUGGGUACCUAGAAUAAUAUGAUUUA